GCUAUUUCUUCAUGGUAUCAGAGCUUGGUUGAUGCCUUCAUUUAUGCUAUUUCUUCAAAGAACCUAUGGGAAGAGAUUAAGGAGAGAUUUAGAAAGAGCAAUGGACCUCUCCUAUACCAGCUGAAAAGAGAGAUAAGUACUUUAACUCCAGCAAAUACAUCUGUUUCAGUGUAUUUUACUAAGCUCAAAAGAUUGGGGGAUGAAUUGGCAUAUCUCAAGCCUCUACCAGUAUGUGAGUGUAAUGCGGCAAAACAAAUGGAUGAAAUUACCAGUGAAAAUAAACUUAUCCAAUUUUUGAUGGGGUUGAAUGAAACUUAUGACCAUGUCAGAAACCAGAUCGUUCUCAUGGAUCCAUUACCUGGCUUCAACAAGGCAUAUUCCAUGGUGCUAAAAGUAGAGAAACAGAGAGAGAUCCAUAUUGAUACAGCAGAAGAGUUUAACUCAGUAAUGGCAGUAAAGGGACAAUUUCAGAAAGAUAAAUUUCAGCGCAAGAAAAAGGAGUUUGGGAAGAAAGAAACCAGAACCUGUUAUUACUACAAUGCAAGUGGUCACACUAGGGACACAUGCUUCAAGCUUCAUGGCUGUCCAAAAUGGUUUACUGAACUAAAACAAAAAAAAGGCAAAGCUAAGGUAAAUAUGGCAGCUAAUGCAUAUGAGAAGGUACCUGAAUGUGAGAGCAAAGCUGAACACAAGAAUGAGGCAGCAGGGGUUGACUGGGGAAGUAUGAUCCAGCUUGAGAUUGCCAAGUAUAUGCAGUACCAAAAUCCUGCAGCAAACGAGGCAAGCUGCGCUAAUUUUACUGGUUAUGCAGGUCAGAAUCCAACUUACUACUCUUCUAGCAGACAUGGUAAGGACUGUGGUUUGUGGAUAGUGGAUUCAGGAGCCUCCAUACAUAUGUGUCAUGAUUUUUCUCUCUUCCAAAACCCCACAAAGUUGAACAACCACUGUUUUGUUACCCUACUAGAUAGAAAUUCAAAACCAGUAAAAUACAAAGGAAACAUAAAAAUAAACCCACACCUACACCUCUCUCAUGUACUGCACACACCAAGCUUCAAAUACAAUUUGAUAUCUGUUAGCGCACUUACCAAGCAAUCUAACAUAAAUGUCCAUUUCUUCACUAACCAUUGCAUUUUGCAGGACCCAGUGACUGAGAAAGUAGUAGCAAGAGGAGAAUUGCAGGGGGGGUUAUACAUAUUGAAGGGGAAUAAGUGUAACCAUGCAUGAGGUCUAUGAAAACAAUUGUAAUCCUGCUUCUAAAAUCAGUUGUACUCAACCCAAAUUUCAAAUGAAUGAAGUUCAUCAAACAUUUGCCUCAUUUAAUUCUUAUGAACUGUGG
rnacentral:misc_RNA from 1 species